UACGUGGAGGGCAAGCGUUGUCCGGAAUCAUUGGGCGUAAAGAGCGUGUAGGCGGUCCGGUAAGUCGGCUGUGAAAGUCCAGGGCUCAACCCUGGGAUGCCGGUCGAUACUGCCGGACUAGAGUUCGGAAGAGGCGAGUGGAAUUCCCGGUGUAGCGGUGAAAUGCGCAGAUAUCGGGAGGAACACCUAUGGCGAAGGCAGCUCGCUGGGACGUUACUGACGCUGAGACGCGAAAGCGUGGGGAGCAAACAGG
rnacentral:rRNA from 1 species